rnacentral:rRNA from 1 species
UACGUAGGGUGCAAGCGUUGUCCGGAAUUAUUGGGUCGUAAAGAGCUCGUAGGCGGUCUGUCGCGUCUGCUGUGAAAUCUCAGGGCUUAACCCUGAGCUUGCAGUGGGUACGGGCAGACUAGAGUGCGGUAGGGGAGACUGGAAUUCCUGGUGUAGCGGUGAAAUGCGCAGAUAUCAGGAGGAACACCGGUGGCGAAGGCGGGAUCUCUGGGCCAC